GAAGCGAAUCGAAAAGCUUCGCUCCUACCUCGACGCAGCAAAUGCGCUCGAAACUUCAAGCAUGCAUAGGAAACCGCUGAGCAAGAGCUUAGAGGACACGAAGUUGAAGAUUCUUGCAACGAUUGUUUGAUUCAAAUCUUAGAGAGUUUCUCCAAUUCAGGACGAGAUAUCUACCGCUGGAUCUGAUGUAGAAGAUCUUAAGGUACUGAAAAGUGACACGACUGCCCAUUUUGUGUAAAAUCAAACCACUUUUUGGAAUUGCUUUUUUAUGUUUUAAAUCAUCAACAAUAAACUUUGUCAAUUUUCAUAAACAUUUCAAUGAAUCCCAAUCUUCAUACACUUGUUUUGCUAGAUAAUUCCUCACUACAUUUGUACAAUUGCAGUACUAGACUUCUCAUUAAUCAGACCUAAUUUCCAUUGCAAACAAAUAAGACUCGCAGAAAACAGAGAAUUUGGUACGGGAAAGAAGGCUGCAAGACAAUAAAUAGCACAUCAAGCCAGCCUGCAGCCACACAGGCCAGCUGUAUCCAUUCUCAUCUAUUUGAUCUAUAGUUGUGCAUUUGUACUGAUGAUGCCUCUACAUCCUUUACAAACAAUAGGAAUGUGGAUCUGGCCACUUCAUCAUCUGUCGCUUGGGCCCUGCAGAGAUGAUGAUAAUGUUGAAGACAAUGACAAGGAUUAAAGAGGUAAAAGGACAUGAAGGCAGCCCACAAUCAUUACCUACCCAAGAACAUACAUGUCGGCAGCAUCUUUGAGAUUCAACCACUCUUCCAAAUCUACAGCUAGACUCCCUAUAGGAGAUCUUCCAGCAACAUUCCAAGUACCCACAAAGAUCCUGGAGUAUGUGGAAACAGAAAACAAGUUGUCAUUAAUUUCUUGGUUUAUUUCUUUCCACCAAGAGACGACGAAACCUGAUCACCUUAAUUCAUCGAUCGAAACGUAUGGAGCCAUCUCCUUUGACCGAAAGAGAACACUAUCCAGGUAAUCAUCACCCUCAUCCUCGCCUCCAUCUGUACUAAUAAUUGAAUGCUUGAAAUAUAGAACACAAUAGAACACCAUGAAAAGGAGGAAACAAAGUGAAAGGAGAAAAAAGAUUUAACCUGAAACUUCCCUCAAAUGAAACGGGCCAUCUCUCUUGUGCUUCCUCUUAAACCAUUUGCCAAGCCUAAGAACUUUCGGCUUCUGGGUCUCAAUAUCCAUAGCUCAGAAAACAACCUAGCCCAUGCAUGGCAGAAUCAAAUGAAGAUGGAGGGAGUGCGACUCGCACUUUCCUCGGAUGGCCGCUGGAUUUGGGUAUAGGAUAUCAUUGUGCCAAUCGCCCUAUAUGAGAGGAAGAAAAAGGAGACAAGCCUCAGAAGUUAUACUUACACCGAUAACCCCGAGACUGGAGAGCACCCCAAUAAUGUCAGGUCAAUGGUGUUAUAUGGAACAAGCUUCUCUCGUAGUGCUGCUAUUCGAUGGUUGGUUCAGAAGGAAACAACCACUUAGGCCUCACAAAGUUCUUUUCAUUUGCCAGAUAAUUAGACUUGAUAGGUGGUGCUGGUCACGUAUGUGUCCUGGAAUCUUACGUUAUAAGAUUAUUUCGUGUCAAAGUCAAACAACCUAGCAUUGACAUAGGGUGCCCUUGGUAUGUAACGAGGUAUUAACAUCUAAUUAUCAUAAAUUCAGGACUCUUAUUCCUUAAAAAAAACCUGUAAUAUUUCAUCUCA